rnacentral:lncRNA from 1 species
GGGUGUGGAUCUUUCUUGGACAUCCUACCUACUGGUGUAAGGUGUCACAUUAUCACAUCUCAUCUCUUGAUUGAUUGAGUUAAGAAGCCAAUUGGAUUGGAGUUCAUCCUACUUUCCUGCGGCAUCUGACGUGCAUGCGAAGUAGAGGAUCUGCAUAUCCAGAUCUCCAUGAAGGUUUAUAUCAGAUAAUUUAUGAUUUGAUCUCUAGUUCUACUAUAAUUC